GCUAUUAUCUGGCUAAGCCAGUGGUCUUAUCUUGUGAGGUCCUGUGGAAGUGGGCCCGCAGACUGAUACUGCGUGGCUCCCUGGAUUCAGCCCCCUUCCUAAGGCAAGGCAAUGUACUUCUAUAAAAGGGCCCACCCUUACAGAUGGAGCAAUGAUUGUUGGAGAAGAUAGGAGAAAGUGAAGAAGGGAAGAAGAGAAAAAAACAGAGAAGAAAGAAGGAAAAGAAGAUAGAGGGACAAGUAGAAGAAGGAAAGGAAAGGAAAAGCAAGGAAAAAGGAUAACCUGUCCUCUUUGACUAGUAGGCUCACCAACUCUUCUUUACCAUGGAAGGGAUUUCAGUAGGACCAAAGGCUUUUCCCAUGAAAUAGUAUUUUAUCUUGAUAAGAACCUAGCACAUUGGUUACCAACCUCCUUAAAUUGAUUCCCUCAAAAGGAAGAAAGUGUAUCUGGAAAUCCUCUGAAACUUCCAGAGUCCCCCAAGCCCAGUGCUAUUUCUACCAGGGGAGAAAGCAGAGCUCUUUGUAUAUAUGGGUAGGAGCAAAGUAAGAUUCUCCUCCCCCUUUCCCCACAACCCGAAGCAGAAGUUUCUCCUGAGAUUUCAACCAGUAAAAUCACCAUAUAAUAGAUUAGGCAUCCUGAGAAGUUCUUAAUGGAACGAGAGCUCUCACUAAUCAAAGCAGGAAAGAACAGGGCCUUGAAGAAAUCAGAAAUCUAAUUAAGGUGGAAUUUCAAGAGAUCUGACUGAAUGUUAAAUAAGUUGUAGAAGCCUCAUCAAAAGGAUUAACUCAGCUGCAGAGACAACGCAGAAGUGCAGGUGGGGAUUCUGCAUGAAGACUGGAAAAAAAAACAGUGACAAGAACUGAAAGUGGUCAUUGUGUUCAUGGUGUGUCUAAAGGACAGAUAAAAGAAAGAGGUGCCCCUGACCCCUCCUUUCAUCCCAUCUUAGUUGAUGAGGUUUGGGGAAAAGAAGAGUUUGUUAAGCUCAUUUAAUCUGUUUUGUCUUGUCCAUGUUUUCAUCAAGCAACUUUCUGAUUAAUUUGGCUUUUAGAAUAUAUUUUUCCAAGCAAGACAGAGAUUGUUAUUCAGCCAACAUGAGCAUUCCCAGCUGUUUUUGGGUUAUAUUAGCUCUGGAAUUAAAACAAAACCAAACAAAAAA
rnacentral:lncRNA from 1 species